AUUUGCUCAGGACCAAAUCACACAGAAGGGAUUGCGGCCGCUGACAGCACCAUGAAUUGCACAUCACUUGCGACCGCUAUCUGCCCCGUCUCAAGGUCCCAGUCACAAGUCAGAUAUUACAGCACAAACACAACCAUAAAGUUUUGCAGCUGAGUGCAAUUUUACCUUUUUUGCAUUUGAUUACAACUUUACAUGUGGCUAAUUAUAAUGUUGCAUUUGC